AGUAACCUGCCUUGGAGUGGGGAAGUAACAGCUGGAAACAGCUGCUAAUACCGCAUAAUGCAGUUGGGUCGCAUGGCUCUGACUGCCAAAGAUUUAUCGCUCUGAGAUGGACUCGCGUCUGAUUAGCUAGUUGGCGGGGCAACGGCCCACCAAGGCGACGAUCAGUAGCCGGACUGAGAGGUUGGCCGGCCACAUUGGGACUGAGACACGGCCCAGACUCCUACGGGAGGCAGCAG
rnacentral:rRNA from 1 species